UCCCUGGUGGUCUAGUGGUUAGGACUUGACACUUUCACUGUUGAGGGCCUGGGUUCAAUCCCUGGUCGGGGAA
rnacentral:tRNA from 1 species